rnacentral:rRNA from 1 species
AUCAGUUACAUAUGUUCUCUUUGAACACAUCAGUUCUCAAUAGAUCACUGAAGUUAAGCAACAUUGCGCAUUGUUAGUAUCCGGAUGAGUGACUAUCUGGGCAGUUGUGUGAUGCUGGCU